rnacentral:rRNA from 1 species
CCUACGGGGGGCUGCAGUGGGGAAUAUUGGACAAUGGGGGGAACCCUGAUCCAGCCAUGCCGCGUGUGUGAAGAAGGCCCUCGGGUUGUAAAGCACUUUCAGUGAGGGAGAACGCCUGGUGGUUAAUACCCAUCAGGAAAGACAUCACUCACAGAAGAAGCACCGGCUAACUCCGUGCCAGCAGCCGCGGUAAUACGGAGGGUGCGAGCGUUAAUCGGAAUUACUGGGCGUAAAGCGCGCGUAGGUGGCUUGAUAAGCCGGUUGUGAAAGCCCCGGGCUCAACCUGGGAACGGCAUCCGGAACUGUCAAGCUAGAGUGCAGGAGAGGAAGGUAGAAUUCCCGGUGUAGCGGUGAAAUGCGUAGAGAUCGGGAGGAAUACCAGUGGCGAAGGCGGCCUUCUGGACUGACACUGACACUGAGGUGCGAAAGCGUGGGUAGCAAACAGGAUUAGAUACCCGGGUAGUC